UGUCCGCUUUACCUCCCACGGUCACGCCAGCGUCUACCACCUCGAACGUAACUCCCACCACUGAAAAAGAUGAAGCUCGAUUUGAAGCAGUGAAAGGCGAGGACUCGGCAAGCAUCCCGCUGGUAAUUGGUGUCGCAGUGGCCACACCGUUGGUCACCGUUAUUUUGGUGGUGGUCAUCAUACUAGUAUUUCUUAGAAGACGAAGAACACUGCCACCUGACCCACUAAACUUACAUGUUCCUCACCUCAACCCAGCGUUUUCCGACGGUCCGGCACCUGCCCCGCCUAAAUCACCUAAAGGACAACUUCGUGUGUCAACCAACUCGGACUAUGACACAA